AAUGAACGCUGGCGGCAUGCCUAACACAUGCAAGUCGAACGAAGGCUUCGGCCUUAGUGGCGCACGGGUGCGUAACGCGUGGGAAUCUGCCCUUGGGUUCGGAAUAACAGUUAGAAAUGACUGCUAAUACCGGAUGAUGUCGUAAGACCAAAGAUUUAUCGCCCAAGGAUGAGCCCGCGUAGGAUUAGCUAGUUGGUGGGGUAAAGGCCCACCAAGGCGACGAUCCUUAGCUGGUCUGAGAGGAUGAUCAGCCACACUGGGACUGAGACACGGCCCAGACUCCUACGGGAGGCAGCAGUGGGGAAUAUUGGACAAUGGGCGAAAGCCUGAUCCAGCAAUGCCGCGUGAGUGAUGAAGGCCUUAGGGUUGUAAAGCUCUUUUAUCCGGGAUGAUAAUGACAGUACCGGGAGAAUAAGCUCCGGCUAACUUCGUGCCAGCAGCCGCAGUAACAC
rnacentral:rRNA from 1 species